UGUGAUGUGAGUCAUUUUGUGUUGUGAGUAAGAGUUAAAUUGGUUGAUUUGAAUGACCGAAAGUGCAAGAAACAUCGCUCGAUUUUCUUUUAAAAUUGUUUUUUUAAACAUUGAAUUCGUUUCUUGCACAGAAAAUGGCUGACAAUAUUAAUAUUGGUGAAGACACUAUUUCAUUCGAUGGAAGUUCAAUUUUUGAUUUUGAUAGUUUUGAGUCAAUGUAUGACGGGUUUUAUAGUGUUCAACAGCUGGACGAUGUUCAUCAGGCAGUUAUUCUUGGAGCGUUUGUUUCAAUUACUGGAAAAAAUUACUAGCAUUCAAGCAAUUCUUUCCACUGGUGUGUGUAGAAAUUUAUCUUCGAAAGCAUUUGUAAGGUCUUCUGUAUAGAUAUUACUUGUAAAAUUAUAUUUUAAUCCUUUCCACUUUGAGUGCCUCUUAUCCUUGUUCAAAGGUGGAUAUAGAAUUUUUUUUUUGAGUGACUAAAGAUUGCUUUAAAAUUUACACAGGUAGAUAUAUAUAUAUGUUCUUGUUAAAUGUUAUA